AGAUUCCUCUCUUACAGCUCGAGUAGCCUUCUCAGUCGAACCGUUCAUGUUGCGAGCUGCUGGCGGGUGCAACAUUUUGGCGCCAGAACUGGGACCUGAAGAAUGGCAGAGAGAUGCUAAGAGGAACGCUGUGGUGGAGCUCCACAGGAAAGGAUCUUCAUAUCGGACAUCGGAGCAACGGACAGGUAAAUCAACACUCUCGAAGCGGACCAGCGGAUGUGCAUCCCCGCCCCCCUAGAGCACACAGGUGGCUGCUGUUAUCUUCUUUCCAAGGACAUUUCCAGCACGUGGCUUUCAGUCUGAGUUAAAAAUUAGGUUUACCUAGAGGGCUAGA
rnacentral:lncRNA from 1 species